GAGUUUGAGUUUGAUCCUGGCUCAGAUUGAACGCUGGCGGCAGGCCUAACACAUGCAAGUCGAGCGGUAGAGAGAAGCUUGCUUCUCUUGAGAGCGGCGGACGGGUGAGUAAUGCCUAGGAAUCUGCCUGGUAGUGGGGGAUAACGUUCGGAAACGGACGCUAAUACCGCAUACGUCCUACGGGAGAAAGCAGGGGACCUUCGGGCCUUGCGCUAUCAGAUGAGCCUAGGUCGGAUUAGCUAGUUGGUGAGGUAAUGGCUCACCAAGGCGACGAUCCGUAACUGGUCUGAGAGGAUGAUCAGUCACACUGGAACUGAGACACGGUCCAGACUCCUACGGGAGGCAGCAGUGGGGAAUAUUGGACAAUGGGCGAAAGCCUGAUCCAGCCAUGCCGCGUGUGUGAAGAAGGUCUUCGGAUUGUAAAGCACUUUAAGUUGGGAGGAAGGGUUGUAGAUUAAUACUCUGCAAUUUUGACGUUACCGACAGAAUAAGCACCGGCUAACUCUGUGCCAGCAGCCGCGGUAAUACAGAGGGUGCAAGCGUCAAUCGGAAUUACUGGGCGUAAAGCGCGCGUAGGUGGUUUGUUAAGUUGGAUGUGAAAUCCCCGGGCUCAACCUGGGAACUGCAUUCAAAACUGACUGACUAGAGUAUGGUAGAGGGUGGUGGAAUUUCCUGUGUAGCGGUGAAAUGCGUAGAUAUAGGAAGGAACACCAGUGGCGAAGGCGACCACCUGGACUAAUACUGACACUGAGGUGCGAAAGCGUGGGGAGCAAACAGGAUUAGAUACCCUGGUAGUCCACGCCGUAAACGAUGUCAACUAGCCGUUGGAAGCCUUGAGCUUUUAGUGGCGCAGCUAACGCAUUAAGUUGACCGCCUGGGGAGUACGGCCGCAAGGUUAAAACUCAAAUGAAUUGACGGGGGCCCGCACAAGCGGUGGAGCGUGUGGUUUAAUUCGAAGCAACGCGAAGAACCUUACCAGGCCUUGACAUCCAAUGAACUUUCUAGAGAUAGAUUGGUGCCUUCGGGAACAUUGAGACAGGUGCUGCAUGGCUGUCGUCAGCUCGUGUCGUGAGAUGUUGGGUUAAGUCCCGUAACGAGCGCAACCCUUGUCCUUAGUUACCAGCACGUAAUGGUGGGCACUCUAAGGAGACUGCCGGUGACAAACCGGAGGAAGGUGGGGAUGACGUCAAGUCAUCAUGGUCCUUACGGCCUGGGCUACACACGUGCUACAAUGGUCGGUACAGAGGGUUGCCAAGCCGCGAGGUGGAGCUAAUCCCAUAAAACCGAUCGUAGUCCGGAUCGCAGUCUGCAACUCGACUGCGUGAAGUCGGAAUCGCUAGUAAUCGCGAAUCAGAAUGUCGCGGUGAAUACGUUCCCGGGCCUUGUACACACCGCCCGUCACACCAUGGGAGUGGGUUGCACCAGAAGUAGCUAGUCUAACCUUCGGGAGGACGGUUACCACGGUGUGAUUCAUGACUGGGGUGAAGUCGUAACAAGGUAACC
rnacentral:rRNA from 1 species